UGCGUAGGCGGAUCUAUAAGUCAGUGGUGAAAUCCUACAGCUUAACUGUAGAACUGCCAUUGAUACUGUAGAUCUUGAGUACGGUUGAGGUGGGCGGAAUGUGUCAUGUAGCGGUGAAAUGCUUAGAUAUGACACAGAACACCAAUUGCGAAGGCAGCUCGCUAAACCGUAACUGACGCUGAGGCACGAAAGCGUGGGGAGCGAACAGGAUUAGAUACCCUGGUAGUC
rnacentral:rRNA from 1 species